ensembl:miRNA
CUCUUGUGUUAAGGUGCAUCUAGUGCAGUUAGUGAAGCAGCUUAGAAUCUACUGCCCUAAAUGCCCCUUCUGGCACAGGCUG